UGGGGAAUAUUGGACAAUGGGCGCAAGCCUGAUCCAGCAAUGCCGCGUGUGUGAAGAAGGCCUUCGGGUUGUAAAGCACUUUUAUCAGGAGCGAAACGCUGUCGGCUAAUACCCGGCGGAACUGACGGUACCUGAGGAAUAAGCACCGGCUAACUUCGUGCCAGCAGCCGCGGUAAUACGAAGGGUGCAAGCGUUAAUCGGAAUUACUGGGCGUAAAGCGUGCGUAGGCGGUUUCUUAAGUCUGCUGUGAAAUCCCCGGGCUCAACCUGGGAAUGGCAGUGGAUACUGGGAGGCUAGAGUGUGUCAGAGGGUGGUGGAAUUCCCGGUGUAGCGGUGAAAUGCGUAGAGAUCGGGAGGAACAUCAGUGGCGAAGGCGGCCACCUGGGACAACACUGACGCUGAGGCACGAAAGCGUGGGGAGCAAACAGGAUUAGAUACCCUGGUAGUCCACGCCCUAAACGAUGCGAACUGGAUGUUGGUCUCAACUCGGAGAUCAGUGUCGAAGCUAACGCGUUAAGUUCGCCGCCUGGGGAGUACGGUCGCAAGACUGAAACUCAAAGGAAUUGACGGGGUCAUGAGCUGUUUCCUG
rnacentral:rRNA from 1 species